AUUGGCUUUAUAUAUAUAUCUAUGGUAAAUCCCAUCCAGUUUCGCGGUGUUUUAUAUCUCGCAGUAUCUCGCGGUAUCGCGUCGACCAGUAAUAGUUGAGUGUUUUGGUGAUGUCAUGCGGUCACGUACGUUUUGGCGCCUUUCAGUCUGAGGAGGAGAAGCGGGGAGGAGGUAUUAGCGACAAACUACAGGCCGGUUUAAGCUCAGUUUUAACGGUUUCACUUAAACAACAAAUGUCAUUAAAUGUGUGUUUUAUAUCAACUUGUAGGACCCUUCUACUGCGCCUUUAUCUGUGUUUUUGACGAUGAGAAGAACGUGUUGUUUGGCGAUAAACCGACGACGGGUGAGUUUGUUAUUGCUAGCGUGCUAGCGUUAGCCGGUCCCAUUCAUUCCAAUGACAGCGGUUAGCUAAACUCUUUGGUUUUAAAUAUACUGUUUCUCCAAAUGAAAAGCAAAAUGUCUGUAAUUGUAUUCAGAUGAAAAUGUGUUGCUGUUACCAUCUGUGUAAUGAUUGUUGAGUAUGAACCUACUGGAAAAAGUGAGGUUAUAUAAACAUUAAUUCUUAGCACUUUAUUUAAGACUUGAAUGUGUUUGAUCAUUAUCUAUCUUAAUGUCUAUCGACCAUACUUGUUAAAUAAUACUAUACAUGUUGUUCAUUGAUAAUGCUAGUAGUAUUUGCUUUUUAUUUCAUAUUGAAUUUAUUGAAAUUUACUACAGCUCAGCCUGUGCUUUAGAAGAAUCAUGUGUACACAAGGAUUUAUUGUUGAUUAGCUACGUAGUGUGUAUGUGUGUGUAUAUACACAUAUAUACACAAACAUACAUAUGUGUGUGUGUGUGUGUGUGUGUGUGUGUGUAUGUAUAUUUUUUUAUUUAUAUUUAAAGAUGAUAAUUUUUCAUUUUUUUUAACUGUGGUCCUGAUCCACAGGCCAGGUCCACAUGAGACGGUACGCUAAGGAGCAGACCUAGAUCCCACAUUGACAUCAAGUCUCAUCUGCACCUCUCCUGCCAGGCCGGUAGGGGGCUCACUGGAGCCCACUGAAAACUCGUACACCCACUCAUUCAAUCAGCACCCCUCAUUCAAACACAUUCCCCCCUGAAAACCUUUUCCACAAGCGUUUCCCCUAGACUUAUUCUCAACCCAGACGUGUGUCUUUCCCUUCAUAAACGGUGGAUGGGUUGCUGGGGUCAGGUUUUGGUGUUUCAUUAGACUGUAUGCUGUAUGGUGAAUGAUUGUUGGGCAAACCAAGAAUAUUUUAUUAUUAUUGUUUUGCUUGAAUGGCCAUUCCUUCACUGUAUAUAUCUGCACUCUGGUUGUUUUUUAAAUAAUAUAUUACAUCAUUCAAAAAAACUGUAGUCUUCUGGUUACUAGUCCACCACCAAGGAUUACUUCAGUAAUCAUCACAUAAAUAUCAUUAAGUAUUAAACCAAUACUCAUUAUUCUGUGUACCCUCUUACAUCUGACACAGUUGCUACAUAAAUUUCUAGUGAGCUGGACAGGAGAGAGUAAGGACAGAGUCAGGGAAUGAUCGAUAUUGAUUUUGACACUCAUUGCAAACAUGGAAAUUUUGGAGAAACAUGGUAUAAAGAUCCAAACGCUGUUUUGAUCAAACACACAGAACAGGAUGGCACUGAUGAAGAAGAGGUUGCAUUUUUGAAGCAGUAUGGCAGAACAUCUAAAGUUAAGGUUAUAACAAGGUUGUUGAAUUGCUGUUGAAUUUGUUUAGGGUAAUGUUUUUUUGCCGUACACGUACAUUUGUCAGACUGAAAAGGUGACCUAUGAGAUUCUAGAGCUUUGUGACGUCUACUUCCAGUGCUACCAUCCCUGUGCAGCUACCCAACACUGCCACCUUCAAUCUACUGCACGGUACUGCAGCUGACGCACAGAAUUCAGGAGGUGAGUUGCCACCAAUCCAUUCAAAUUCCAAUGCCCAGGGCACAGCAAGGCCUUCCUUUCCUGGUUUGACUCCCUCUGAUCUCCAUCGUCCUGGAAUACAACGCUAUGUUGUUGAACACAUGGAGAAAAGUGAUGACAAUCCGAUCCAUAUGUCCACACAAAGACUCCGAUCGUUCUGAGGGCGUGAUCCACGACGACAGCAUGAAUCUGAUUAUGAAGCUUGGCGGUCAGGGGUUGAUCUCUUGUUGAAAGAUCCUGACAUCUCAGACCUUCAACACUCCAGGAAAAUAUGUGAAAGUCGACACUCAAGAGCAGCAGAUAUGAUGAGACACCUCACACCAGAAACACCGCCUAUGGCUUACCUCCAGAUCCUUGACUAACUGUCACGUUCCAGUAUCCUCAGUAUCUGAUAGCCUUCUUGUUUCUGACCGCCAUAGUUUUUUGUCUAGCCCUUUUGGAUACCUCUGCCUAGCUGUGUGCCGAAUCUUGGAC